rnacentral:rRNA from 1 species
UGGGGAAUCUUGGACAAUGGGCGCAAGCCUGAUCCAGCCAUGCCGCGUGGAUGAUGAAGGCCUUAGGGUUGUAAAAUCCUUUCGCCGAGGACGAUAAUGGCGGUACUCGGAGAAGAAGCUCCGGCUAACUUCGUGCCAGCAGCCGCGGUAAUACGAAGGGGGCUAGCGUUGUUCGGAUUUACUGGGCGUAAAGCGCGUGUAGGCGGGUCGUUAAGUUGGGGGUGAAAUCCCGAGGCUCAACCUCGGAACUGCCUUCAAAACUGGCGACCUGGACCUAAGUAGAGGCAAGUGGAAUUGCGAGUGUAGAGGUGAAAUUCGUAGAUAUUCGCAGGAACACCAGUGGCGAAGGCGACUUGCUGGACUUAUGGUGACGCUGAGACGCGAAAGCGUGGGGAGCAAACAGGAUUAGAUACCCCGGUAGUCCCUGAGCGGGCUGGCAAGGCGCAU